AAAGGGCACGGGAGGACGUUCACAAGGAGACGGAAACAAAAAAACAAACAGACGGCAGAGGAGAGAACAGAUGAGAAAACAAAAGAGAAGAAAGGGAGGAAAACAGAGGAAAAACCAAAGAGAGUGACAGAGACAGAGAGAAGUAAAAGAAGAACAACAGACAGAGAAGCGAGAUAGAAGGAGAGGAGGGUCAUCGCAGGGGCGCCACCCGCCAGUCUCCGUCGCCAUCCGCUUUGCUCCCAGUAGCUGCUCGCCCAGGUCAGUUUGUUUUCCGCCCUCCCUCCAUUUUAAUUACCAUGUUUCUGUAGCAGGCGCUCGUGAACAGUUCACGAACGCCUGCAGGUAAAAAAAAAAAAAAUAAACAAAGAGAAAAG
rnacentral:lncRNA from 1 species